rnacentral:lncRNA from 1 species
ACCAAAAAGAAAUGAAAAUGUGUUGCUUAGGAAGUAUUCUAAUGAACUGUUCUUCAUUCUUUUGGCAGUUACUGUUGUUGUUUUUGAAGAGGUGCCUUGGCAGGAGUGGUGGCUCAGAACCUGUGAUUUUAUCUGGAUAGGGGACCAGUACUUUUGGUGUGAAAAUUCCCUCUACCAUUCUGUACUGCAUCUUCAAGUGAAAAUUUUUCUCAGAAGAGGAGGAAAAAGUGGUAAAAGACCAGAAUUUCAACAAACCAACCCCAAGUUCUCCUAAACAAUUUGUGGAUUUUGAGGCAUGUGGGAAUAGAUCUUCUCUAGACAGAUAUCCUCCAGGACUGGAGCAAACACUACUGGUGAUCAUACAUCUUCCUAUUUUAUACUUUGCCUAAUAAAUUUAAAAGAGUAUCAUCA